CCCCUCGAAGCUUAGUGGUAGAGUAAAAGUGCAUAAAGCCAAGGAGCCGGGUUCGAUUCCCGGCGAGGGCG
rnacentral:tRNA from 1 species